GUCGCUGCCAAUUCAGCGAUCGGGUGUGGUAGCCCGGUUACUUCAUAGACCCAGAACGCCUCAGGGCGUUUUUUU
rnacentral:sRNA from 1 species